rnacentral:rRNA from 1 species
AUGUGUAAGGCGGACGGGUGAGACGCAGGGGUAACCUGCCUGUAAGACUGGGAUAACUCCGGGAAAGGGGAGCUAAUACCGGAUAGUUCCUUGAACCGCAUGGUUCAAGGAUGAAAGACGGUUUCGGCUGUCACUUACAGAUGGACCCGCGGCGCAUUAGCUAGUUGGUGGGGUAAUGGCUCACCAAGGCGACGAUGCGUAGCCGACCUGAGAGGGUGAUCGGCCACACUGGGACUGAGACACGGCCCAGACUCCUACGGGAGGCAGCAGUAGGGAAUCUUCCGCAAUGGACGAAAGUCUGACGGAGCAACGCCGCGUGAGUGAUGAAGGUUUUCGGAUCGUAAAGCUCUGUUGUUAGGGAAGAACAAGUGCGAGAGUAUAGGAGCGAAAGCGUGGGGAGCGAACAGGAUUAGAUACCCUGGUAGUCCACGCCGUAAACGAUGAGUGCUAAGUGUUAGGGGGUUUCCGCCCCUUAGUGCUGCAGCUAACGCAUUAAGCACUCCGCCUGGGGAGUACGGUCGCAAGACUGAAACUCAAAGGAAUUGACGGGGGCCCGCACAAGCGGUGGAGCAUGUGGUUUUAUUCGAAGCAACGCGAAGAACCUGCCCAGGUCUUGACAUCCUCUGACAACCCUAGAGAUAGGGCUUUCCCUUCGGGGACAGAGUGACAGGUGGUGCAUGGUUGUCGUCAGCUCGUGUCGUGAGAUGUUGGGUUAAGUCCCGCAACGAGCGCAACCCUUGUUCUUAGUUGCCAGCAUUCAGUUGGGCACUCUAAGGUGACUGCCGGUGACAAACCGGAGGAAGGUGGGGAUGACGUCAAAUCAUCAUGCCCCUUAUGACCUGGGCUACACACGUGCUACAAUGGACAGAACAAAGGGCUGCAAGACCGCAAGGUUUAGCCAAUCCCAUAAAUCUGUUCUCAUUCAGGAUCGCAGUCUGCAACUCGACUGCGUGAAGCUGGAAUCGCUCCAUAAUCGCGGAUCAGCAUGCCGCGGUGAAUACGUUCCCGGGCCUUGUACACACAUAGCU